rnacentral:misc_RNA from 1 species
GAUUUGAAUCCUACUGUCCCUGUUUUUUAAAGCCAUUAAAUUUACUACAAGCAAUAAUAAAUGCAUCAUGUAGUAAGUUAAUUUAAUUUAUGUUAGUUUUUCUAUGAUUAUUUAAACCCACAAAAGAACUUUAAUUAGGAAAAUAAAAGGUACACAAUUAAGUACAUGUACUUCUUUCUGAAUAUCAAUGAAGAUUUGAAUGUGUUUCAUUCGAUCUGAUGAUAGAUAAAUGAAUCAGCCAAUGAUAAAUUUUAUAUAAUUUAUCCAACAAAUAUAGGAGAAUAUUACUAAUACAGAUACCAAUACUUGAUGUUUAAAACAUUUAUUUUUUGUGGCAUGAUAUCUUCCUUGUUACAACAAUAACAUCUACCGUUAACAAGGUGUUUUAAUGUCAAGGGUCAGUGGAGAUUGUACCAUUUGUCCCACUUUGAACAGCUCUAGCCUUUCACAGAAAAACACCUGUCUGUUGUUCUGUAAAAUGUUGGAGGUGUUCCAGAUGCCAUUUGUCCUUGUUCAGUAAAUUGUUACCGGUACCAUGCAAUGAUAAACUUUUGUGAUAUUUGUUGUGUUAUUUUCUUACAAAUGGGAACACAUUUUGUAUUAUAUUUAGUUAAAAGUUGUUCUAGUUACUUCAAACUGGUGAAUAUUAUAUAGUUAGUAUAUAUGUAUUAUAAUGAUAACAAUGUACAUUUUUGAUUACUGCGAUAUGUUCAAAGAAAUCAAUAUCACAGGCGAUAUAUACUAAAGUAUUGAUACUAUAAAUAAAUGCAUUCUUAUUUUUUUAAAGUGAUUUCUUUUGGUAUGAUGAAUGAAUUAUCCAUCUAUGUCAUCUAGCUAUCUCAGUGGCGUCUGAAGCAAAUAAGUUGGGGGGUGGGGGGGGGGGGCUGGACUAAUCCUCAGAAAUAUUGAC